UGUAAAUGCUUUCCUAUGAGACAGGCUGAAUGCGCGCGCAGCUCUUGCCGCGCGUGCGCAUUCAGCCGGCGGGGCGUAACGGAGGCGGAGAGGAGAGCUCUCCGCCCAGCGCUGAAAAAAGAUAAGUUUUUACCCCUUUCCCCCUUCCAGAGCCGGGCGGGAGGGGGUCCCUGAGGGUGGGGGCACCCUCAGGGCACUAUAGUGCCAGGAAAACGAGUAUGUUUUCCUGGCACUAUAGUGGUCCUUUAAGGCCAGAGAAGCUUAACCGAAAACAGACUCAGAAUUGUUUCCAGUUUGAACUUAAGUUUGAAAUUCAUUAUGAA